UACGUAGGGUGCGAGCGUUGUCCGGAAUUAUUGGGCGUAAAGGGCUCGUAGGCGGUCUGUCACGUCGGGAGUGAAAACACGGGGCUUAACCCCGUGCCUGCUUCCGAUACGGGCAGACUAGAGGUAUGCAGGGGAGAACGGAAUUCCUGGUGUAGCGGUGAAAUGCGCAGAUAUCAGGAGGAACACCGGUGGCGAAGGCGGUUCUCUGGCCCGUUACCGACGCUCAGGCGCGACAGCGUGGGGAGCAAACAGG
rnacentral:rRNA from 1 species